GAUGGAAGAAGAGAUUGCAAUGAUGUAGCCACGGGCCAAGAAAUGCCAAGGAACGCUGGCAGCUAUCAGAAGCUGAAAGAGGAAAGAAUGGAUUUCCCCCCUGGAAGUUCCAGGAGGAAACCAGUCUCCUGACCCUUAAAUGUGAGCCCCAGAAGACUCAUUUCAGACUUCCGGUCUCCAGAACUUUUUUGAACACUUCAAACAAUAUCGUCACGAACAUUCUUAUACCAAUCUCCUGAUGCACCUGUGCUUGAGUUUCUCCAGGGACCAUACCAAUGAGAGAAUUUCUCAAUUAUCAGCUCCACUGUGCCACUGUGUCAAGCACCAUCA